CUACGGGGCGCACCAGUGGGGAAUAUUGGACAAUGGGGGAAACCCUGAUCCAGCAAUGCCGCGUGUGUGAAGAAGGCCUGCGGGUUGUAAAGCACUUUCGGUUGGGAGGACUGCUUCUAGCACUAAUAUUGUUGGAAGUUGACGUUACCUUCAGAAGAAGCACCGGCUACCUCCGUGCCAGCAGCCGCGGUGAAUACGGAGGGUGCAAGCGUUAAUCGGAAUUACUGGGCGUAAAGCGCGCGUAGGCGGCUAGAUCAGUCGGGUGUGAAAGCCCCGGGCUUAACCUGGGAACUGCAUCCGAUACUGUCUAGCUUGAGUACAGGAGAGGAGAGUGGAAUUCCACAUGUAGCGGUGAAAUGCGUAGAUAUGUGGAGGAACACCAAUGGCGAAGGCAGCUCUCUGGCCUGAUACUGACGCUGAGGUGCGAAAGCGUGGGGAGCAAACAGGAUUAGAUACCCCUGUAGUC
rnacentral:rRNA from 1 species